GGUAAAUUUAUUUUAUUAAAACACACAUAUACCGACACUUCGUAUCGGGGUGUUCAGCUCAACUUAGGUUGGUCUGAAUCGAUACAAGGGGUAUAUGGAGGCCUAACC
rnacentral:sRNA from 1 species